rnacentral:rRNA from 1 species
UACGGGGGGUGCGAGCGUUGUCCGGAAUCACUGGGCGUAAAGGGCGCGUAGGUGGUUUGAUAAGGGUGUGGUGAAAGUCCGGAGCUCAACUCCGGAUCUGCCGUGCCGACUGUCAAACUCGAGGGCUGUAGAGGCAGACGGAAUUCCGGGUGUAGCGGUGGAAUGCGUAGAGAUCCGGAGGAACACCGGUGGCGAAGGCGGCUUCCUGGACCGACACUGACGCUGAGGCGCGAAAGCUAGGGGAGCAAACGGG